rnacentral:rRNA from 1 species
UACGGCAGCAGUGGGGAAUAUUGCACAAUGGGCGCAAGCCUGAUGCAGCCAUGCCGCGUGUAUGAAGAAGGCCUUCGGGUUGUAAAGUACUUUCAGUCGUGAGGAAGGUGUUAAGGUUAAUAACCUUAGCAAUUGACGUUAGCGACAGAAGAAGCACCGGCUAACUCCGUGCCAGCAGCCGCGGUAAUACGGAGGGUGCGAGCGUUAAUCGGAAUUACUGGGCGUAAAGGGCACGCAGGCGGUUAAUUAAGUUGGAUGUGAAAUCCCCGGGCUUAACCUGGGAAUGGCAUUCAAGACUGGUUAGCUAGAGUCUUGUAGAGGGGGUAGAAUUCCAUGUGUAGCGGUGAAAUGCGUAGAGAUGUGGAGGAAUACCGGUGGCGAAGGCGGCCCCCUGGACAAAGACUGACGCUCAUGUGCGAAAGCGUGGGGAGCAAACAGGGAUUAGAUACC